UCACCAAGAACUUUCAGAGGCCAUUGU
rnacentral:piRNA from 1 species